rnacentral:rRNA from 1 species
UACCAGCUCUUCGAGUGGUGUGGAUGUUUAUUGGGCCUAAAGCAUCCGUAGCUGGCUGGGCAAGUCCCCUGUUAAAUCCACCGAUUUAAUCGUUGGGAGUGCGGGGGAUACUGUUCGGCUAGGGGACGGGAGAGGCAGACGGUAUUUUCGGGGGUAGGGGUGAAAUCCUAUAAUCCCGGGAAGACCACCAGUGGCGAAGGCUGUCUGCUAGAACGCGCCCGACGGUGAGGGAUGAAAGCUGGGGGAGCGAACCGGAUUAGAUACCCGGGUAGUCCCAGCUGUAAACGAUGCAGGCUAGGUGUUUGGGCGGCCACGUGCCGCUCUAGUGCCGCAGGGAAGCCGUUAAGCCUGCCGCCUGGGGAGUACGGCCGCAAGGCUGAACUUAAAGGAUUGGCGGGGAGCACACAAGGGGUGAAGCUUGCGGUUU